rnacentral:lncRNA from 1 species
AAUCAGGAUCUCUUCAAAAUGACCAGUCAACUGAAGAAGCCAGACUGCGAACAUCUGUAUCUUCCCAUUUGAAAACCUCACCUGUUCUUGCUCCUAUAGAGUACCUGGAAACACUGACCACUCACUUUGCUGAUUGAAGAUUUCCCAGUCAGCUCUGCUGGAAGCCUGGGAUCAUGGAGAAGGAGACAGACUACAGCACUGUGCUGCAAGUAUGGGAAGAAUGGAAUUAGUUUUGUGGAGGCUGCAAGGAGCAAGCAGUCUGGAAGAAGCUGUGCAGCAGCACCAAGAUGGCUUUGGACUCUGUGAGUACCAAGGUGAGUGGUCACACCUGAUCAGGGCUGUGAGAUUGCUGUGAGAUUUGGGUAAGGUGGUCAGGGUUGCAGAGGGAAAAUCUGAAUUACCUGUAACUGUGUUGUGAUAAGAAAGGAGGAUGCACAAGGAGGAUGGUAAGCUUGGGGGGCACCUAACAAGGCAAAAGAGAGAGAAAAUAAUGCUUUAUUUCCAUUUCUUUAACUAGUAAUUGCCUUACUUUCUCCUUUAGAUUGAGUACUUUGUGUAAGA